rnacentral:rRNA from 1 species
UGGGGAAUAUUGGACAAUGGGCGCAAGCCUGAUCCAGCCAUGCCGCGUGUGUGAAGAAGGCUCUAGGGUUGUAAAGCACUUUCAUUAGGGAGGAAGGCCAGAGUGUUAAUAGCGCUUUGGAUUGACGUUACCUACAGAAGCAGCACCGGCUAACUCCGUGCCAGCAGCCGCGGUAAUACGGAGGGUGCAAGCGUUAAUCGGAAUUACUGGGCGUAAAGCGCGCGUAGGCGGUUUGUUAAUUGUGAUGUGAAAGCCCAGGGCUCAACCUUGGAACUGCAUCACAUACUGGCAAGCUAGAGUACGGUAGAGGGGGGUAGAAUUCCAUGUGUAGCGAGUGAAAUGCGUAGAGAUGUGGAGGAAUACCAGUGGCGAAGAGCCGGCCCCUCUGGAUCGAUACUGACGCUGAGGUGAGAAAAGCGUGGGAGAGCAAACCAGAGAUUAAGUAUACCCUGUGUAUGUCCACGCCGUAAAGCGAUGUCAACUAGUCCGUUGGGAAGUGGUAACUCCUUUUAGUGGGCGCAGCUAACCGCUUUAAUUGACCGCCUGGGGAGUACUGUCUCAAGAGUA